rnacentral:rRNA from 1 species
GCCGGAAACGGCUGAUAAUACCGCAUAAGCGCACGAAUGUCGCAUGACAUGGUGUGAAAAACUCCGGUGGUAUAGGAUGGACCCGCGUCUGAUUAGCCGGUUGGUGGGGUAAAAGCCUACCAAAGCGAAGAUCAGUAGCCGAGUUGAGAGACUGACCGGCCACAUUUGGGACUGAGACACGGGCCCAGACUCCUACGGGAGGCAGCAGGG